AGAAGCUGAGCAGUGUGCAGGCGUGGCUGUGCUGACAACUCAGCAGUGAUCUGCAAUUGAGAGCAAGUUCAGCAAGCAUUCAGACACUGGGAAGUGUGUCUGUGUGUGUGGUGCCAUGUCCCUGCAUCUGUUGUUCUGCAGGCAUCUGGGGAAGCCCUUGUGUCCUGUGCAAAGUUCCUGAAGUGGAAGGAGCUCGAGCACCAGGCCCAGCAGAAGAACUCAGCGGGGAUCAUGAAGUGUUUGCUGCAGCAGGAACGAAUGGGAGUGGAAUGCUAACCUGCAGCAGAGCCUGCCAUACCUGGAGGAUUCUCAGGCCUCCUUGCGAUGCGAGGCUGUCAGAUUCAUUGGGCUGAUUGGGAAGCACGCCAGGGAGCAGAGUGAGGAGAUGCUGAAUGAACUCUGCAGUGCCCUUCAGCCUUUGGAAGAUGACCCCCAUCUGGCAGUCUGUUCUGUGGCAUCUGAGAUCAUCCAGAAGCUGAGACACCAAAGGCAGAAGGCGGCACCAGCACGGAGAAGGCUCCCAGCACUUUUCCGCUGGUUUUGCAUAGCCUUCUGAUGGGCUUUUCCUGUGAGGAUGAAGCACAGAUAGGAAACGUUACAUCUAGUUUUGCUGUGGGGUUUACCUCUGUGUGUGACACAUUCAUUCUUCUGACAACUGCUAUCACUCAGUUUGUUAAUAAAAAUCAUUCCUUUAUUACUUUGUGCCUUGCAGAUUAAUCUGAAUGUAAGAAAAUCGGGCUGACUUUGUUUGCUUCGCUCAACACUGGCCACAUCAAGAUAACAAAGGACAUUGUUUUCAAGAAUAAUUGCAGCUAUCUUCUAGUUGGCUUGUGCUUCUGUGCUUCUGAGAAACACCAUCUAGCAAUUUCUUUUCUUUUUUUCUUUUUCUCCUUUUUUUGCACGAGUCCUGGAUGCUGGUGUGUGUUGUGCUCUGUUGUUUGCUGACCAGCAGUGUUUAGGGACAGUUAAUUUGCUGUUGCCUGGAGCUAUGUGUGAAGUGCAGGACUAGAAGCUGUGAUCGCUGAAUCUCCUUGGAUGAGCCCCAGCUCAGGUUCUCUCACACCAACCAAGAACAUUUUUGCCAGCCCUGUUGUAUUGCUGCAGCUCAGUGACCCCGACAAUCUUCCCAUGGAGUGCCGAAGACGGAGGUGGGAGCCUCCUUGCUGAGAUCUGCUAGCAAAGCCCUGAGCGGCUCUAAGGUCGGAGCCUGUUGGGUCGGUAACACUGUGUCAUGGUUUUGUGCUGUUGCUGUCCAUAUUCCACAUCAUAACAUCACAUGCAGUAUGAAUCAUUAAUUGAGGGUAUAAAUAGUGGAAUCAUGUACAAAGGAAAAAGGGUUAAAGAGAAAGUAACUUUAUGUUUAUAACUGAACGAUACGGAUUGCUAAGGGAAAGUUCUAUGGUAUUAAAGGUGUUUGAAUCAGACUGUUCUGAUGGUAUAAGAAAGUGUAACUGAGGGUAUGUGAAAGUGUAAUUGAGGGUAUGUGGAAGUGUAACUGAGGGUAUGUGGAAGUGUGAUUGAGGGUAUGUGGAAGUGUGGAAGGUUCAUGCUCCAGUUCCGUGGAAUGGCAGCGUCCCGAGUAUUCAGCUCUUGGAGGAGAACUACAUAUCCCAGAGGAUGUCACGGCCAGAGAUGAAUCACCAGAGGAGGACAUAUAUAAUCUUGCUCCAAGGCUGGAACGCUCUCUUCUUCUCUCGCUCUCUGCGUGCCAGCUCUGUCGUCUCUGUGC